UACGGGGGGAGCAAGCGUUGCUCGGAAUCACUGGGCGUAAAGGGUGCGUAGGCGGCCGUGCAAGUCUGGCGUGAAAGCCCCGGGCUCAGCCCCGGGAAGUGCGCUCGAAACUGCGCGGCUCGAGUGCCGGAGGGGAGAGUGGAAUUCCUGGUGUAGCGGUGAAAUGCGUAGAUAUCAGGAGGAAUACCGGUGGCGAAGGCGGAUCUCUGGGCCUGUUCUGACGCUGAGGCGCGAAAGCUAGGGGAGCGAACAGG
rnacentral:rRNA from 1 species